GCCAGAAAGCAUUGCCUUCUUCUCUGAGGCAGCCAGCCAAACUCCUCCCUGCUUAAGUGCAGGGUAGCGAUUUUCUUAACUGUACACACUUAUUUAAAUUACUAUUUAUUUUGUUUCUUAGUUAUAUUUACCAGAGCUGUGCAUAAUGCUUUAAAUAUAGAGCAGUAAAAAAUGUCAUCUAUCCUGAAACAGACAAUUGGGUCCCAAUCUAAUGUUUAUUGAAGUCAGUGAAAGCCUUUCUGAGGUCAUUGGAUUGGAUCCUUGGUGCACAAGAAAAGCAAAGCUGAACCAUAAAGAUAUUAUUUGAGAAGAUCAUUAACUCCCAAGGAUAAACUCAUAGAAGAGGGCCUGGAACAGAGGAAACGAGCUGAAUUGACGUCAACGGAUCUACUCCUGCUUUACACCAGGAAAAGGAUAAUCAGGCGCUGUGUGAUAUGAAGGACUGGUUUUUUUUAUAAGUAUACAAAAAAUACAGUUGAAAAAAAGCUGUAGUACACCAACAAAAGUACACCAAGAAAAAAGUAAAAUAAGGCAAUCCUUUUUAAGGGUUUCUUUGCCUUUGCUUACUUCUUGAAUUAAAUGAUGCAGAAAAGGGCUUACAGGUACAUUUUGCUGCUGAUGCUGAAGAAAGAUGUGAAAAUGAGGUUUCCAGACCUUGCCCCCAGUAUCUCUGCAUGAGACAAGAGUUCUUUCAAAAUGACUGACAGCUAGAAAGAUAGUGCCAGUGCAAAUGGCUCACUGUCCAUCAUCUUCCAAGCACUGGAGCUGUCAGGAAGCUUAAAAAUGAAGCUGUAUAUAUUAAAGUUAUGUUUAAAUCAUUCUAGGGAGUGGCAGAAAAGGGAAAGAUUAAUGAUCCAACUAUAUAUGC